UUGCAUCGGUGUUUGCUUACUGCUGUUGUUUAGAAUUGAAGUUUGAAAUGGUCUUGUGAUGACAGUUAGUAGUAGUUAGUUAAUAUAAUUCUAAGUAUUUAGUUUCAUGAGUUAAAAAAAUUCUAAACUAUUGCUAGUUAGUAUGCUUAAAUGUCUUAGAGUUGUCAAAUGAAUGCUCUUGCAACAAAGUGUUACAGGCUUAUUGGAAAUACAGAACAAACUAGUCUUAUUGAAGUUGUUCAUUGUGUAACAAGACUAUUCAUUUGGUCACUUAAAUAAUAGUUCAUAUUAAGCAUAUUAAGUGUACCAGAGAUUCAUAUAUUCAGAUGAGAUAUAUCAGAGUAUCACUAUCAGAGUAAAUUAUGCACUAUCUAAUAACAAUAUUUGUUGCAUGUCAAACAGUUAUCAGCGGAGCACCACUGCUAUCUCUGUUGUUUUUGAAAGGGAGGCAAUUCUCAUGUGAUGGAGCCUGCUGCUGCUUUUCUUUCUCAGCAAUGGCUAAGUGGUGUAUAAUUGUCGCUGGUAUCUUAACUGCUUAGUAAUAUUAAUGUUGUAUCCUUAGCUAUUGCUUAGUGAGUUCCAUUGUAUUGGUGCAUUUUUUUCUGAACUGGUAUCCUGUAUCAUUUAGAGCUUGCUGAACAUCUUGUACACAAGACUUUUUGCUUUUAAUGCCAAUUUGCCUUUUCCAAAAA